GCAGCGCUUACCUAGAAAGAUGUUUAAAUCUGAACCAGGAAUUGUCUCCAACUCCAGGCGCUCAGGGAAUCGCCUUUUCCGGUGUCCAGGCGCUCUGCAGACAAAUAAACAGCAGAAGCAAAUGGUCACUGAGCCGGCAGUCAGCUUUCUGGGAGUGGGAGAGGCUGGGGAAGGGGCAAAGAAUCGUCCGCUCGCCGGACCCUGGCUUGGAGAAGUUCUGCGCUCCGCUGGGACUCUGCGGGCCCUGUGUGUCUACAGACCUAUCCCUGCCCCCACUAGCCCUUCACUCAGACCCAGCUUUCCCCAGCGUGAAUCAGAACAUUACCAACUGUCUGCGCAUCCGUCCCACUUCAUCACCAAAGCCAGGAUGUCACCGCAGAAAACCCAAGCCCGAACUCACGUUUCCCCGGACGCGGCGCGCUCCCCAGACUCGCAGAAACCCUGCGGAAAAGGCCCCAAGACCUGGCGAGGGCCUGCCAGCUCCGUCCUCCCUGCCGAGGGCUCUCUCCUGCCUUCCUGAAGGAGUUAAAAGAUUUUGGAGAUAAAUCUGAGGGUGUGUGUUUUUAAAAAUCAAAUAAGCGAGAGUCCCCCAGACUGUCUCUAGCUGAUGCGUGUCUCUGGAGCUGAACAGUGGAAUGGCAGAAUUUCAAAACGCCUGAUGGUGGCAUUUGAAGGCUUCCCCCACCACCUACACUAGACACAAGAUUUGAGAGGAACAACACUUUACCAGCCAUUUGACCAAUUAAUUCUUUGGGGGUAAUUUUCUUGUGGUGGUUUAAAAUAAUGCACACAACGCAGG
rnacentral:antisense_RNA from 1 species